rnacentral:rRNA from 1 species
GACGAACGCUGGCGGCGUGCUUAACACAUGCAAGUCGAACGGUAAGGCCUUCGGGUACGACGAGUGGCGAACGGGUGAGUAACACGUGGGUGAUCUGCCCUGCACUUCGGGAUAAGCUUGGGAAACUGGGUCUAAUACCGGAUAGGACCACGGUCUGCAUGGAUUGUGGUGGAAAGCUUUUGCGGUGUGGGAUGGGCCCGCGGCCUAUCAGCUUGUUGGUGGGGUGAUGGCCUACCAAGGCGACGACGGGUAGCCGGCCUGAGAGGGUGUCCGGCCACACUGGGACUGAGAUACGGCCCAGACUCCUACGGGAGGCAGCAGUGGGGAAUAUUGCACAAUGGGCGCAAGCCUGAUGCAGCGACGCCGCGUGGGGGGAUGACGGCCUUCGGGUUGGUAAACCUACUUUCAGCAGGGACGAAGGGUGACUGACGGUACCUGUAGAAGAAGCACCGGCCAACUACGUGCCAGCAGCCG